GAUGAACGCUAGCGGCAGGCUUAAUACAUGCAAGUCGAGGGGCAGCAGGGGUGUAGCAAUACAUCUGCUGGCGACCGGCAAACGGGUGCGGAACACGUACGCAACUUACCCAUAACUGGGGGAUAGCCCGGGGAAACCCGGAUUAAUACCUCGUAAGAUAAUGGAGUGGCAUCACUUUAUUAUUAUAGCUCCGGCGGUUAUGGAUGGGCGUGCGGCUGAUUAGGUAGUUGGUGCGGGAACGGCCCACCAAGCCUGCGAUCAGUAACUGGUGUGAGAGCACGACCAGUCACACGGGCACUGAGACACGGGCCCGACUCCUACGGGAGGCAGCAGUAAGGAAUAUUGGUCAAUGGACGCAAGUCUGAACCAGCCAUGCCGCGUGAAGGAUGAAGGUCCUCUGGAUUGU
rnacentral:rRNA from 1 species